GAUGAACGCUGGCGGCGUGCCUAAUACAUGCAAGUCGAGCGAACGGACGAGAAGCUUGCUUCUCUGAUGUUAGCGGCGGACGGGUGAGUAACACGUGGAUAGCCUACCUAUAAGACUGGGAUAACUUCGGGAAACCGUAGCUAAUACCGGAUAAUAUUUUGAACCGCAUGGUUCAAUAGUGAAAGACGGUCUUGCUGUCACUUAUAGAUGGAUCCGCGCUGCAUUAGCUAGUUGGUAAGGUAACGGCUUACCAAGGCAACGAUGCAUAGCCGACCUGAGAGGGUGAUCGGCCACACUGGAACUGAGACACGGUCCAGACUCCUACGGGAGGCAGCAGUAGGGAAUCUUCCGCAAUGGGCGAAAGCCUGACGGAGCAACGCCGCGUGAGUGAUGAAGGUCUUCGGAUCGUAAAACUCUGUUAUUAGGGAAGAACAAAUGUGUAAGUAACUAUGCACAUCUUGACGGUACCUAAUCAGAAAGCCACGGCUAACUACGUG
rnacentral:rRNA from 1 species